AUGCUCAUAGCUACAGUCAGUGACCUUUACCUGAGGUCCUUCACCCAGUGGUGCCCAAGUGCCUCACCUUGCAAGUCCUCUUCCUGUCCAAUGGCUAGAAAACUACUGGGAAUCUUAACAAGAUCCGGUGACAUCUCUAACUUCUGUGAAUUGAAAGCAUCCACACGUUUACCCUUAGAAAUAGCUCAAGACCUCAGAGGCUUCCUACACUCUGCACUACAGCCUUCUAGGUCCUGCUGUUACAGCACUGAAUAACAACAUGAUUUCCUGCCCAUGGGUUGUCCUGAUGUUUCCAUUGCAGAUCUUGUCACAACCAUUUGCAUCUUUGCUGCCUUUGAACUGAAUGGCCUGGGACUAAGUUUGAAGUUUGCUCAGAAACUACUGCUAAUGUGGAUGAGAGCUCCUAGAUGAGGCCAGCCACUGUUGGCUGCCUCUCUCCAGGGUACCUGCGGUGCUGACUUCAAAGGGAUUCCCAUUGACUAGACCUUAACUGCCAGGUUGUUGAGACUUCUUUGGCUCCAGCAAAUCACCUGGAGCAAAGUCUAUCCCAAAUGUGAAGCUGGUGUUCUUAAAACACUAAUUCUAGUCUCCUCUCAUUCCUAGUGGGUUAUAAGACACAUCCAUUCGUCUUGGCUUUUUAUGAACUCUGAUCAGGGUCAACCACUGGAUUCUGUGACAUUUAGCCCGAUGGGUGUGCUUUCUUGUCUUUUGAUCUCGAAUGAUGCUGGUGCUGCUGAGAGGACUAAAAUGGGGAUGUGGCCUUGGUAUAUCGUUCCAUCUUUCCAGUCAACAUAAACUUCUUUUAAUGUAGCCAUCAAAAGUGUGUCCAGAUAGGCCUUUAUGAGUAACAGUUGUAGCACUGUAACUAAUUUUUGCAGUUAAUGCAAAUGGCAUUUUAAAUGGAUGGUAUAAAUAUAACGGUAAGGACUUCUUUAAAGUGAAUGCUGCCCUGUCAAUAUGGUACGCAAGCCCCUUCCACUGUACCGCAUGUCUGAGGGACCUUCCCAAGAGCUAACAUCUUACACAGAUGGUUAGUCCUACUACAAUAGACGUAGCCUAGGAAAGAGGGGCUGGAACUAGUGUGUGCUGGUUGGGAACAAAAAACUUGUGAAAAGUGUUUUAAAACUAUCUUGCAUCUAGCUCAAUUAUUUACCCCCAAAGAACUGGCCUCCUCCUGUCAGCUGAUUUCCAUUCAGAUGGCAUACAUCAGCUUAGCUCUCUGAUGAGGCAUUAUCAGGGAUCCCAAGGAAAAGAC
rnacentral:lncRNA from 1 species